AUUGAACGCUGGCGGCAGGCCUAACACAUGCAAGUCGAGCGGAUGAAGGGAACUUGCUCUUGGAUUCAGCUGCCGACGGGUGAGUAAUGCCUAGGUAUCUGCCUGGUCGUGGGGGAUAACGUACGGAAACGGGCGCUAAUAUCGCAUACGUCCUGAGGGAGAAAGGGGGGGAUCUUCGGACCUCACGCUAUCAGAUGAGCCUAGGUCGGAUUAGCUAGUUGGUGGGGUAAAGGCCUACCAAGGCGACGAUCCGUAACCGAUCUGAGAGGAUGAUCAGUCACACUGGAACUGAGACACGGUCCAGACUCCUACGGGAGGCAGCAGUGGGGAAUAUUGGGCAAUGGGCGAAAGCCUGAUCGAGCCAUGCCGCGUGAGUGAAGAAGGUCUUCGGAUUGUAAAGCUCUUUAAGUUGGGAGGAAGAUCAGUGAAUUAAUACCUUGCUGUUUUGACGUUACCUACAGAAUAAGCACCGGCUAACUUCGUG
rnacentral:rRNA from 1 species